UAUGUGAUCGUCUCUCGCAUAUCAAUAAGCGGAGGAAAAGAAACUAACAAGGAUUCCCCUAGUAACGGCGAGUGAAGCGGGAAGAGCUCAAAUUUGAAAUCUUAAAGGGUUUCCCUUUACGAAUUGUAGUUUAAAGAAGUGUUUCCUGUUGAGGUUUUGGUAAAAGUUCUUUGGAAUAGGACAUCAUAGAGGGUGAGAAUCCCGUAUUUGACCUUUACUUUCAACUUUGUGAUACACUUUCAAAGAGUCGGAUUGUUUGGGAAUGCAGUCCAAAAUGGGUGGUAAAUUUCAUCUAAAGCUAAAUAUUGGCGAGAGACCGAUAGCGAACAAGUACCGUGAGGGAAAGAUGAAAAGAACUUUGAAAAGAGAGUUAAACAGUACGUGAAAUUGUCAAAAGGGAAGCGUUUGACACCAGUGUUGUUUUUCUGAAAAUCAAUUAAAGAACUGUUUAUGCUAAGCUGUUUAGACUUUAUCAGCUAUCUGUUUAGUUUUGAGCUUUUCUUUAAUGCACUUUUCAGUUAACAAGUCAACAUCAAUUUCUUUUGCUGUAAAAAAGCUUGAGGAAGGUGGCUUGAGAUUCGUCUUAAGUGUUUAUAGCCUCUUGCCUAUGCAGUCGGAGAGAUUGAGGUCUGCAGCGUAGAUCCUUCGGGGCUAAAUGCAUUUGUGCUAAGUUAUAACAUUUUAUAGACAACUUGUUGACUAUGAUUUGUCUUGUAGCUUACUCGCUUAUGUUAUUUUACCUACGCUUAGGAUGUUGAGUAGCGACAUACGCAC
rnacentral:rRNA from 1 species